rnacentral:rRNA from 1 species
GACGAACGCUGGCGGCGUGCUUAACACAUGCAAGUCGAACGGAAAGGCCCUGCUUUUGUGGGGUGCUCGAGUGGCGAACGGGUGAGUAACACGUGAGUAACCUGCCCUUCACUUUGGGAUAACUUCAGGAAACUGGGGCUAAUACCGGAUAGGAGCUCCUGCUGCAUGGUGGGGGUUGGAAAGUUUCGGCGGUUGGGGAUGGGCUCGCGGCUUAUCAGCUUGUUGGUGGGGUAGUGGCUUACCAAGGCUUUGACGGGUAGCCGGCCUGAGAGGGUGACCGGCCACAUUGGGACUGAGAUACGGCCCAGACUCCUACGGGAGGCAGCAGUGGGGAAUAUUGCACAAUGGGCGGAAGCCUGAUGCAGCAACGCCGCGUGCGGGAUGACGGCCUUCGGGUUGUAAACCGCUUUCGCCUGUGACGAAGCGUGAGUGACGGUACUGGGUAAAGAAGCACCGGCUAACUACGUG